UCCCAGGUGGCUUAAUGGUAAAGAAUCUGCCUGCAAUGCAGGAGAUGCAGGUUCAAUCCCUGGGUCAGGAA
rnacentral:tRNA from 1 species